CAUACAAAAAAAGCGCCAGGACUGACGGUAGGUCAGUUGACGAGGAGAGGGCUAAUCGACUAUUCGGCGGAUUCCCUCCGGCUGCGUGUACAGCCGUAAGCUUAUGUUAAAAACGACGAGGUGACUCGUUGCACAAAGACAAAAGCAACACGCAUC
rnacentral:ncRNA from 2 species